UUUCGACCUGAGGUCAGGCAAGAACACCCGC
rnacentral:rRNA from 2 species